GGGGAUGUAGCUUAGAUGGUAGAGCGGUUGCUUAGCAUGCGAGAGGUACGGGGAUCGAUACCUCGCAUCUCUA
rnacentral:tRNA from 1 species